ACGGGAGGCAGCAGUGGGGGAUAUUGCACAAUGGGGGAAACCCUGAUGCAGCGACGCCGCGUGAGCGAUGAAGUAUUUCGGUAUGUAAAGCUCUAUCAGCAGGGAAGAAAAUGACGGUACCUGACUAAGAAGCACCGGCUAAAUACGUGCCAGCAGCCGCGGUAAUACGUAUGGUGCAAGCGUUAUCCGGAUUUACUGGGUGUAAAGGGAGCGUAGACGGCAUGGCAAGCCAGAUGUGAAAUGCGGGGGCUCAACUCCUGAACUGCAUUUGGAACUGUCAAGCUAGAGUAUCGGAGAGGUAAGUGGAAUUCCUAGUGUAGCGGUGAAAUGCGUAGAUAUUAGGAGGAACACCAGUGGCGAAGGCGAUUCUCUGGACUGUAACUGACGCUGAGGCUCGAAAGCGUGGGGAGCAAACAGGAUUAGAUACCCUGGUA
rnacentral:rRNA from 1 species